rnacentral:rRNA from 1 species
AGCAGUAGCCGCGGGAAUACAGAGGGUGCGAGCGUUAAUCGGAUUUACUGGGCGUAAAGCGUGCGUAGGCGGCUUUUUAAGUCGGAUGUGAAAUCCCUGAGCUUAACUUAGGAAUUGCAUUCGAUACUGGGAAGCUAGAGUAUGGGAGAGGAUGGUAGAAUUCCAGGUGUAGCGGUGAAAUGCGUAGAGAUCUGGAGGAAUACCGAUGGCGAAGGCAGCCAUCUGGCCUAAUACUGACGCUGAGGUACGAAAGCAUGGGGAGCAAACAGGAUUAGAGACCCCGGUAGUCCCUGUCUCUUAUAA